CCAGAAUUUAGUUAUUAGCUUAACGAGAGAGGACUGUACUAAGUUGUCAAUGUGGUUUGAAGAUUUCAUCACACUUAUGUGCAUAAAAAUAGAAUAAAUCAAUAUUAAAUGAUAUUAUUCAUAGAGAGCAAUAUUUGCCUUUUGUCUUAUAAUCCAAAUAUUUAUUAAAAAGAAAUGAAAAAAAAAUGGUUAUGGACUCCGCUGAGAUGUUAUUAGAUAGUGUAAAGGAAUGUCAGAAAACAACGUACCCAUUAUAUUACACAAUGAAUAGUCAAUACCAUCAAAAUUAACAGCAUACCAAUUUUACCAUUUAUCUUCGGUUCAACUUACUUUUCGGGAACAUUUUUUUGUACAAAAAUUAUAUUAUAUUACAUUACUAAAAAAGUUAAUAUAUUCAAUUUUAUUUCAAAAUGGAAAAAUACAUUCAGUAUUAAUGCAAAUAAUUAGUAACGUAAAAUUACCUAUGAGAAUAUUCUUUUUAUAUUUUUUGGUUAUAUUUUAAAUUAUUGUAAAAUUGUCCCGAAUUGGCCAAUAAGUAUAAAAGCACUUAUGAAUUUACCUUUUUAU